GAGCAGUGACGAUAAUUGCGCUUGUGUGAUGGAGGGGUCUGUCACGACCGUCUGAUUUCGGACGAAUCAGCGCAGCUGAGCUC